GGGAGUGUGGCUUAGUGGAUAGAGCACUGGACUGCGACUUCAUGGACAAUGGGUUAUGUUCCUGCCUCUGCCA
rnacentral:tRNA from 1 species